rnacentral:rRNA from 1 species
GACGAACGUUGGCGGCGUGCUUAAUACAUGCAAGUCAACUGAAGCAGUGGUAGCAAUAUCGCUGUGGAGGUGGCGCACGGGUGAGUAACACGUAGGUAAUCUGCCUUCAGGUCUGGCAUAACUCCGGGAAACCGGGGCUAAUAGCAGAUGAUGCAGCGGCUCGACAUCGAGACAGUUGUUAAAGCUAUGGCGCCUGAAGAUGAGCCUGCGUCUGAUUAGCUAGUUGGCGGGGUAACGGCCCACCAAGGCAACGAUCAGUAGCUGGUCUGAGAGGAUGAUCAGCCACACUGGAACUGAGACACGGUCCAGACUCCUACGGGAGGCAGAAGUAAGGAAUAUUGCUCAAUGGGAGAAAUCCUGAAGCAGCAACGCCGCGUGAGGGACGAAGGGCUUUGGCUUGUAAACCUCUGUAGUGAGAGAAAAAAAUCCCAAUCUUUGGGACAUGAUGGUAUCUCAAAAGUAAGCCCCGGCUAACUACGUG